rnacentral:SRP_RNA from 1 species
CUCGGCGAUGCCCUUCAUGAUCCAGUCGCUCUCGGAGGUGGGCGCCAAGCUGAUCCGGCUCGAGGAGGAGCGGGCCACCAGGAGGGAAAAGGAGGAGCGGAAGGGCC